AUAUUGGGCAAUGGGCGAAAGCCUGACCCAGCAAUGCCGCGUGUGUGAUGAAGGCCCUUGGGUUGUAAAGCACUGUCGGGAGGGAAGAAAAAGCCUGGGUAACGCCAGGACUUGACGGUACCUCCAACGGAAGCACCGGCUAACUCCGUGCCAGCAGCCGCGGUAAUACGGAGGGUGCAAGCGUUGUUCGGAAUUACUGGGCGUAAAGCGCGUGUAGGUGGCGCUGUCAGUCGGAUGUGAAAGCCCUCGGCUCAACCGAGGAAGUGCAUCCGAUACUGCAGUGCUUGAGUGUCGGAGGGGAUGGCGGAAUUCCCGGUGUAGAGGUGAAAUUCGUAGAUAUCGGGAGGAACACCUGUGGCGAAGGCGGCCAUCUGGACGAUUACUGACACUGAGACGCGAAAGCGUGGGUAGCAAACAGG
rnacentral:rRNA from 1 species